rnacentral:tRNA from 1 species
GGAGGGAUCGCAUAGUGGCCUAGUGCGGGCGCCUGCUAAGCGCUUGUGGGGCCCUAAAGCUCCACCCCGGGUUCGAAUCCCGGUCCCUCCGCCU